AUUGAACGCUGGCGGCAGGCUUAACACAUGCAAGUCGAGCGGAGCGGCGGACGGGUGAGUAAUGCUUAGGAAUCUGCCUAUUAGUGGGGGACAACAUCUCGACAGGGAUGCUAAUACCGCAUACUAUUAGAAGAGACUAAGUCGGAUUGGCUAGUUGGUGGGGUAAAGGCCUACCCAGACGACGAUCUGUAGCGGAUCUGAGAGGAUGAUCCGCCACAAUGGGACUUGGUGACAGCCCAGAAUGCUACAGAGAGCAGCAGUAGGGAAUAUAAGCCAAGGGGUGGAAACCUCAUCCGACGAUGCGGCGUGUGAGAAGGAGACGUUAAUGUGGUAAGGCACUUUAAGCAAGGAGGCGUUACUGGCAGAAUAAGCACCGGCUAACUCUGUGCCAGCAGCCGCAGUAAUAC
rnacentral:rRNA from 1 species